CAGAAAACUAAAAAAUAAAUAUUAAAAAAAAAUUCUCUCUCUCUCUCUCUCUCUCUCUCUCUCUCUCUCUCUGUCUUAAAAAAAAAAAGUCACAGGUCUUAUGUUUUCAGUCAUGUGGAAGCUAGAGAAGGAAAAAAGGGAUCCAUGAAAAUAGAAGGAAGGCUAGCGAGACAGAGGAAGAGAAUUAGGGGGAAGGAGGAGGAGGGCAAGGGGAGAUACUGGAGGAUGAAAUUGAUCAAAUUAUGUUAUGUACAUGAAUGGAUGAGCCACAAUGAAACCCAUUAUUCUGUUUGUUUAUUAUACAUCAAAUUGAAAAGUUUUGGGCUGGGGAUGUAGCUCUGUGGUAGAGCAUUUUCCUAUAAAGACUCUACGUUUAGUUCCCAGCACUGUUCCCCCCUCCUCCCUGAUAAUUUUAUUGAAUUUGGACAGAUUUUGUUAUUAAAAAAUGUCAGGCCAGUAAUACAGCUCUUGUGGUACUUAAUUUUGCAACUUUAAUAAAUGCUCUUGGCUUAAACAUCAGCUGAAAUGAUCUAAAAAGUGAAUCACUAUACAAAGAGUCCCAUUUAUAUCUCUGUUAUAAAUGGUCUUAUUUCUUAUGGGCCAAACUUGUGAUUACUUUCUUCUUGUGAUUUUGGCUUUAUUUUUACAAACUGUUAUAAUAAGAAUAUGUUUCUGAAUCUGUAAUAUUGAACAUAUAGAGAUGUAUUAUUUAGAAGUUGAUAUUGAAAACCUCUAAACUUCUGACCUUGAAUAGAAUUUGCUAUGUACAACGAUUGCACACAGCUGUUGGAUUCAUAGUUGGCCUUUCUGGAUCUCUGCUUUGUGAAAAAUAGUGUGUAUUGGACAUGAGUACAUGACAGCUGACAUUUAUCAAGGAUAACAGGAGCUCUACUCAUUUUCACGUUUUAAAGCAACUUUGAAAGCUUUGCAUGUGCACACAUGGUCAACAUAUGUUUCUAAACUUUAAAUGUAUUUUCCAUCAUGGUAGCUUGUUAAUAAAAAACUUAAGUAUAAAUUCUCAAUGAGCUUCGUACAUUAAAGUUAUGAGUAUACAAGCACCUGAAGAUCAACAGUGCAGGUUAUUGAAUUCAUUUCUUUGGAAUUUUAUCUUGUAAUUUGGACACUGUCGUACAUGUCGGUAAUCCCAGCUCCUUGGGAGGCCAAGGCAGGCUGAUGACAAGUUCAAGUCCAGUUUGGGUAAUGUAUGUUAAAAAAACCAACCCCCCCAAACCAAAACCAAACCAAAAAAAACCCCCCAAAGAACCCAAAACUAAAACAUGCUCCAGAUAGUACUUUUGUAACAUAAUUGUAAUUUUGGCAUUUCUUUCAUUUCCCUAACACAAAAUUUGGUCCAAUGUGUAGAAAAUGGAAUUAUAGAUAUAAUACCCCCCACCCUCUUAACUACUGGUAUAUUUG
rnacentral:lncRNA from 1 species